UACAGAGGGUGCGAGCGUUAAUCGGAAUUACUGGGCGUAAAGGGCGCGUAGGCGGUCCUAUAAGUUAGAUGUGAAAUCCCCGGGCUUAACCUGGGAACUGCAUCUAAGACUGUAGGACUGGAGUACGGUAGAGGGCAGUGGAAUUUCCGGUGUAGCGGUGAAAUGCGUAGAUAUCGGAAGGAACACCAGUGGCGAAGGCGACUGCCUGGACUGAUACUGACGCUGAGGCGCGAGAGCGUGGGGAGCAAACAGG
rnacentral:rRNA from 1 species